UACGGGGGGGGCAAGCGUUGUUCGGAAUUACUGGGCGUAAAGGGUUCGUAGGCGGCCAACUAAGUCAGACGUGAAAUCCCUCAGCUUAACUGGGGAACUGCGUCUGAUACUGGUUGGCUUGAGUGCAGGAGAGGAAUGCGGAAUUCCAGGUGUAGCGGUGAAAUGCGUAGAUAUCUGGAGGAACACCGGUGGCGAAGGCGGCAUCCUGGACCGAGAUUGACGCUGAUGAGCGAAAGCCAGGGGAGCAAACGGG
rnacentral:rRNA from 1 species